rnacentral:rRNA from 1 species
UACGUAGGGGGCAAGCGUUAUCCGGAAUUACUGGGUGUAAAGGGAGCGUAGACGGUAAUGUAAGUCUGGAGUGAAAGGCGGGGGCCCAACCCCCGGACUGCUCUGGAAACUAUGUUACUAGAGUGCAGGAGAGGUAAGCGGAAUUCCUAGUGUAGCGGUGAAAUGCGUAGAUAUUAGGAGGAACACCAGUGGCGAAGGCGGCUUACUGGUCUGUAACUGACGUUGAGGCUCGAAAGCGUGGGGAGCAAACAGG